GACAGAGGGUGCAAACGUUGUUCGGAAUUACUGGGCGUAAAGCGCGUGUAGGCGGCUCUGCAAGUCGGAUGUGAAAUCCCACGGCUCAACCAUGGAAGUGCAUUCGAAACUGCAGGGCUAGAGUUCUGGAGAGGAAGGUGGAAUGCUUGGUGUAGAGGUGAAAUUCGUAGAUAUCAAGCGGAACACCGGUGGCGCAAGCGGCCGCCUGGCACUGACCUGACACUGAGCCACGACGGCGUGGGGAGCAAACGGG
rnacentral:rRNA from 1 species